UACGGGGGGGGCAAGCGUUGUUCGGAAUUACUGGGCGUAAAGGGCUCGUAGGCGGCCAACUAAGUCGGAUGUGAAAUCCCCAGGCUUAACCUGGGAACUGCAGUGGAUACUGAGAGGCUAGAGUGUGUCAGAGGAUGGUGGAAUUCCUAGUGUAGCGGUGAAAUGCGCAGAUAUCAGGAGGAACACCGGUGGCGAAGGCGGGUCUCUGGGCCGAUAUUGACGCUGAGGAGCGAAAGCGUGGGGAGCGAACAGG
rnacentral:rRNA from 1 species